rnacentral:rRNA from 1 species
UACGAAGGGGGCUAGCGUUGUUCUGAUUUACUGGGCGUAAAGCGCACGUAGGCGGAUCGUUAAGUCGGGGGUGAAAUCCUGGAGCUCAACUCCAGAACUGCCUUCGAUACUGGCGAUCUAGAGUCCGGAAGAGGUGAGUGGAACUCCUAGUGUAGAGGUGGAAUUCGUAGAUAUUAGGAAGAACACCGAGUGGCGAAGGCGGCUCACUGGUCCGGUACUGACGCUGAGGUGCGAAAGCGUGGGGAGCAAACAGG